UGACUUAGGUUCCUCCCAAGUCCCAUGGGUC
rnacentral:piRNA from 1 species